UACGUAGGGGGCUAGCGUUGUCCGGAUUUAUUGGGCGUAAAGAGCGUGUAGGCGGCCAUGUAGGUCCGGUGUGAAAACUCGAGGCUAACCUCGAGCUGUCGGCGGAAACCAUCUGGCUAGAGUCCGGAAGAGGAGAAUGGAAUUCCCGGUGUAAGCGGUGAAAUGCGCAGAUAAUCAGGAGGAACACCAAUUGCGAAGGCAGCUCGCUGGGACGU
rnacentral:rRNA from 1 species